rnacentral:rRNA from 1 species
CCUACGGGUGGCAGCAGUGGGGAAUAUUGCACAAUGGGGGAAACCCUGAUGCAGCGACGCCGCGUGAGUGAAGAAGUAAUUCGUUAUGUAAAACUCUAUCAGCAGGGAAGAAAAUGACGGUACCUGUGUAAGAAGCCCCGGCUAACUACGUGCCAGCAGCCGCGGUAAUACGUAGGGGGCAAGCGUUAUCCGGAUGUACUGGGUGUAAAGGGAGCGUAGACGGCAGUGCAAGUCUGGAGUGAAAGGCGGGGGCUCAACCCCCGGACUGCGGUGGAAACUGUAAGGCUGGAGUGGAGGAGAGGUAAGUGGAAUUCCUGGUGUAGCGGUGAAAUGCGUAGAUAUUAGGAGGAACACCAGUGGCGAAGGCAGCUUACGGGACUGUAACUGACGUUGAGGCUCGAAAGCGUGGGGAGCAAACAGGAUUAGAUACCCCAGUAGUC